UGGGGAAUAUUGCACAAUGGGCGCAAGCCUGAUGCAGCCAUGCCGCGUGUAUGAAGAAGGCCUUCGGGUUGUAAAGUACUUUCAGCGGGGAGGAAGGUGUUGAGGUUAAUAACCUCAGCAAUUGACGUUACCCGCAGAAGAAGCACCGGCUAACUCCGUGCCAGCAGCCGCGGUAAUACGGAGGGUGCAAGCGUUAAUCGGAAUUACUGGGCGUAAAGCGCACGCAGGCGGUCUGUCAAUUCGGAUGUGAAAUCCCCGGGCUCAACCUGGGAACUGCAUUCGAAACUGGCAGGCUAGAGUCUUGUAGAGGGGGGUAGAAUUCCAGGUGUAGCGGUGAAAUGCGUAGAGAUCUGGAGGAAUACCGGUGGCGAAGGCGGCCCCCUGGACAAAGACUGACGCUCAGGUGCGAAAGCGUGGGGAGCAAACA
rnacentral:rRNA from 1 species